CUUCGAACUCUUUCGUUCUUGUUUUCUUGUCCAAGUCUCCUUUAGAAUUUCUCUUCCUGAAAAGUUUCUUCUCUAUUUAUAAUGUUCUCACUAUACAACUAAAUGUCAGAUUACCUAUAUCAAUUUUGCUUGCACUCUUAUUACAUUUUAACACUUAUUUUCUAGUGCUUAUGUAGAAUAUUUGAAGUUUUCUAGAAGAAAACAAUAACAAUUGUACAAUAGAUACUUGAGCUUCAAGAUCACAUUCUGAUGUAUUCAGUGUUUCUUAUGAUGCCUGUAGUUUUUGUAUGUAGGAGUAUUAAAACAUGUAAGAAAAUGAAAAGUGAUAUUGGGCAAAAGAAUCAGGUUUAUAACUGCAAAAAUGUUUUGUUUCAAUGUUGGGUGGGUUAUGGGGGGGAGCGAGUAAAACAUCUGUCAGAAGUAAUUUGACUGUAAAUUAAAAUAGAACUCAAAAGGAUGAUAAAUUUAAUUUAUAUUGUGCUUAACAUCUGGUGUUUUACUGUGCCUUUCAAAACAACAACUUAGGAUCUUUGGAAAACAUAAUUAGAGAAAAAUGUAACUUGGAUUAGCAUGUGGCUAGAUGAUUUUUUAAAUGAAAAUGAAGAUGCAUUUUAUAUGAAUUAUUUUCUUUUCACAUGGCUAAUCAAGGUUAGUUUUUCAUUCUAUGAAGAAUCUGGAGGUAGGCUGCAUGACAGCAGUGCCCUAGUGAGCUAAGAGCUUUGAGUCAGGGUCUGACUCAGACGUGUGAGUUUAGAUCUGGAGAAACAGUGGGUGCAGUGUUUAGGGGAGUGUUCCUGUGGCUGGGCCGCAAGGCCUGAAGAAACUUGCUUAGUGGUUCUGGGCCUCUGAGCCUCAUCUAUAGAAGGAGGCUAUAAUGAAGCCUACCCAUAGGGCUUCUGGGGCUGAAACGAGCUAAUGAUGUCGAAGCUGCUAGAACUGUACCUGUGUCAGAGUGAGUGUGCAGCAUACGUUAUCAUCACUGUCAUCACUCCAGCAUUCUGAUUGUGCCUUUAAACUAGUGUGGGAUUUUGCCCAAACCUCUAAACCCUCCCCUAGCCGUGGUUUCCCCCGCAGUCUGAAGACUCUAAUACUUGACACUCCUUCAGAGAGAUGUUUGGGGAAUUUAUAGACACUUAACAUUUAUGCAUCCUUAUAUAUCGGGGGCGGGAGGAAUUACCGACACUUAAACCAUUACUGCCUUCUUCCUCAAAAGAAUAACAGCUUUGAUAACUGGGUUAGCAGAGGUGUUAGUGGACUUAGGGUUGUAAACAGAUACUCACGGCACUGACAUCGAUGAGUCUAUGAGGGAAAUUAGAAAGAUAAAUACAUCUGGGAUGUAAACUCGGAAAGGCGAGUCUGUUCAAAAUGUUGGUGCUAUUGAAUUGUGAUUCUCAGUGUUUGUACAUUGCUAAUAAUGUUAAACCAUGAAGCCUGUGAGAUCUUGUGUUGCAGCGUGGUUUGGCCCUAGCGUUCUUGCAUGCUAACCUAAGGUAGAAGAUUAGCAGCCUGUUUGCAUGCAGCCGGAUGCUGCCCCUGACGUGAAGCAUGUUCUGGGAGGUUGACCCAACCUCCUUUGGCUGUGGCCUCAUUCACCCCGUCCUGUCUGUGGCCUCAUUCACCGUGAUAUUAGGUUGAAAAAGCUGGUUGAUGAACGGGAAUGCUUAUUGGAACAGAUUAAGAAACUCAAAGGGCAGCUGGAGGAGAGACAGAAGAUUGGCAGACUAGACAAUCUUCGAUCUGAAGAUGAUGUCUUGGAAAACGGGACAGACAUGCAUGUAAUGGACCUACAAAGGGAUGCCAACAGACAAAUCAGCGACCUCAAAUUUAAACUUGCAAAAUCUGAGCAAGAGAUAACUGCAUUAGAACAAAAUGUAAUAAGGUUAGAGAGUCAAGUAUCACGUUACAAAUCAGCGGCUGAAAAUGCAGAAAAAAUAGAAGAUGAACUUAAGGCAGAAAAACGGAAACUCCAAAGAGAGCUCCGCUCUGCGUUGGAUAAAACAGAAGAGCUUGAGGUGAGCAACGGCCACUUAGUGAAGCGUCUGGAAAAAAUGAAAGCAAAUCGGAGUGCGCUCUUGUCCCAGCAGUAAAUUCCAGCUCUGAACAGGCAACUGGUUGGUGACUGGAGAGCAUUGUUUCAUAGGCUUUUCUCUGUCCUGUCUGGGAGCGCUGCUUCUUCCCCUGCCUUCUGAGAGACGAAGACCGUGGCGAGCUUGGCGCUUAGGGGCUCCCGUGCCAUGGCUCACCCCAGGGAGCCCCAGCAGCCACCAGGUGCCUCUGUCUGCAGACCCCUGGCCCGGGCUCGGGCCAACGCUCAGAACCUGCAGGUACUUCAUAAGCACACAGGGGCCUCGAGGGAGCUCUGUGUCUGACCGCACAGCAGCCUCUGAAUGCCACAGGAAAUGAUGAUCACAGUAAAGAUUCAGUUGGGACUUGAGUUUCUUUUUUUUUCAUGUGUCUUGCUGAAGAUUAAGGGGAAAUGUUACAGUGUUGGGACUUCCUUUCAUGGCAGAAUCUACAAUUUGAGCGACUUCAGUAGUAUCUCUUAGUCUACGCUUUUCAUACACGAAACACUGUGGAACCACAAGCCAUUACCAAGCAAAACUCUUUCACUGGAAACAAGGGGGCAGUCUAGAAGUAAAAGUGACCUUAAGAAGACUCUUUACAGGCAACAAAUGAAGCUUUUCUAAGGGAUUUUUGCAUCAGUUCAGUCAUAAGGAUACUUUUUUCCAGGGUAAUUAGGCAAUAGCUUCACUGAAAAUGACAGCUUUUCAUUUGCAUUAUUUAAUCCUUAUAUUUGGAAUUGAAGUCGUUAACUUCUUUUAAAGAAUGUCCUAUUAGAAAAAUUAAAAAUGAAAUGUUGAGAGACUCCA
rnacentral:sRNA from 1 species